UUAUACGUAGAGGUUUCGAAAAAAAAAAAAAAAGUCGAACUUGACUGCUGCGCCAUGGGCUUUAUAAAUGAGGCUCACCGUUCCAUUCUAUGAACCACACCAACUGUCCCUCUUUCUCUCACAACAUGGAUAGAUGCCUGUCUUUCUUCUCCUUUGCUGGACUAGCUUAUCUGGUAAUAACAGCUCCUUAUUGUCAACUUAGAUUUUUUCGUUUUCUUACUUGGUGUUAUUUGCAUUGUGUUCAUUGCAGAAGCUGACUGCGUAAUGAUAACUCGGUAUGCUAAGCUUAGCAUACCGAGUAAAUCCGAUUUCGUUGAUGGCUGGCUAAUGAGCAUUUUUAAUGUAACAGCUCACUGCGGCUGCAGUUGGAAGCCAUGCGACGUCACCAUCCGAGGCUUAUUGGCAGAAGGUGCUGCCAAACACUCCAAUGCCAAGUGCUAUACGAGAUUUCUUCAACCUGGAUUUUAUCAACGAGAAGACAGGCAAACCGAAGGUUGGAGUCAAUAUGAACACAGGCC